UACGAAGGGGGCUAGCGUUGCUCGGAAUCACUGGGCGUAAAGCGCACGUAGGCGGCUUCUUAAGUCAGGGGUGAAAUCCUGGAGCUCAACUCCAGAACUGCCCUUGAUACUGAGGAGCUUGAGUCCGGGAGAGGUGAGUGGAACUGCGAGUGUAGAGGUGAAAUUCGUAGAUAUUCGCAAGAACACCAGUGGCGAAGGCGGCUCACUGGCCCGAUACUGACGCUGAGGCACGAAAGCGUGGGGAGCAAACAGG
rnacentral:rRNA from 1 species